ACCAAGGGAGUAGCAGACGGAUUAUUCCGUGAUAAUGUCGUCAUUACGAAAUCAUUGAUUUCCGGCAUUGUCUUAAACAGCGAGACUUGUUUUUAGCAAACAAGUCUCUUUUU
rnacentral:ncRNA from 1 species